GUGGAAAUGUUCCCGGCUGAUGGAGCAGCAUGUUCAAAGGCCAGCACCCCUGGGGAGCUGCAGGUCUUUCCGUCCAACAGGAACCUGUGUUCAGCUCGAGGGGGACAGUGGGCACCAAUGCGACUGGAGAGCUGGAGACAGAUGGGGCUUGGAAGUCACGCCAAGGGAUCUGGAUCUCACCUUGUGGGCACUGGGGAGCCUUGGAGAGGGGGAUUACAGGCAGGGCCAGAGGGCAGACUUGGCCUUUAGACGAUCUCAGUGACCACCCAAUUCAGGGGCUGGAUUGAAGGGGUUAAUUCCUGCAGCGGGGAGGCUGAUGUUUAGAGCAUGUCCCUCAGGGCUUGUAGAUGAGCGGAAAGAGCCCAACUCCAAUAAGAUGAAGUAAAUAGCAGGGAAUUUAGCGGCUCACAGAACUGGGAAACGCAGGCCUUCAGGUUUGGCUGGUCAAGGGUACCACUGAGAUCUCCUCUCUGGGUCCCUCUCUUUCUGGGGAUGGAUUUCCUCCUUGCUGCUGGGGACAGUGGCCACCAGAUGUUCUAAACGCCCAUCCUCCCAGCAUUGUGACCCAAAGGGUGACAGCAAUCAUUCUGUCUGGGAGAGAAUUUCCAGGAAAGACCGAGUCAUGUGCCCGAGCUGCUCGGCAUGGCCCGGGGGUCAGCUGGUCUCGUGCUGGGGAGGGGUCGGCUCCAUGACUGGCAGCUCGGCUCUGGCCACAGUGCACCAGGGAUGCUGGGGCAGGUGAUGGGCUGGCGUGCUUUGUGCAGCCACUGGUCCAGGCAGUGCAUCGGGGAUAGGCUUGGGCCUGCAUAGGGGGCAGUGGGGAGACAGCUUGGUGAAGAACUUCCAGAGACAUCUAGAAGGUCAAAUAGACAGGAUUUGGUGAUUGACCAGAUGUAGAAAGAAG
rnacentral:lncRNA from 1 species